rnacentral:other from 1 species
UCCUGAAGUGUUCGUUUUUCGUUGUUAAUCUAUGUUUUGACCGAACAUUAAAUGAAUGGGAGCCCUCAUUUCAUUGCGGCAAACAUGCCCUCUCAAAUAAAGUGGGACGUUUAAUGUAGUGAAGCGGGCACCCACCUGCUAGCGAGCGGGUUCAAAACUUUUAACAAUAUAACGGCACAUUCGGGAU